rnacentral:rRNA from 1 species
GGCUCAGGAUGAACGCUAGCUACAGGCUUAACACAUGCAAGUCGAGGGGCAGCAUGAUCUAGCUGCUAAGAUGAUGGCGACCGGCGCACGGGUGAGUAACGCGUAUCCAACCUUCCCUAUAGUAGAGUAUAGCCCGGCGAAAGUCGGAUUAAUGCUCUAUGUUCUUCUUUGAUGGCAUCUGAUGAGAAGCAAAGAUUUAUCGCUAUAGGAUGGGGAUGCGUCUGAUUAGGUUGUAGGCGGGGUAACGGCCCACCUAGCCGACGAUCAGUAGGGGUUCUGAGAGGAAGGUCCCCCACAUUGGUACUGAGACACGGACCAAACUCCUACGGGAGGCAGCAGUGAGGAAUAUUGGUCAAUGGACGCGAGUCUGAACCAGCCAAGUAAGCGUGCAGGACGACUGCCCUAUGGGUUGUAAACUGCUUUUAUAGGGGAAUAAAGUGAGGAACGUGUUCCUUUUUGUAUGUACCCUAUGAAUAAGGACCGGCUAAUUCCGUGCCAGCCGCCGC